AUGCUUGUUGAGACAAACAAGAGUGUCACUUAUAACCUUGUUUAGAAGCUUCUCAAAUUGGUUCUAAUCCUACCAGUAGCAACAGCUAGUGUUGAGAGAGUAUUCUCUUCAAUGUUUGUGAAAAACAAGCUACACAAUAAAAUGGGGAAUCAACUCUUGAAUGACUGCCUGGUUACAUUUAUUGAGAGGGAGUUCUUCUUUGAAGUGAAGGAUGAUGUUGUCAUAUCUCGCUUUCAAGCCAUGACAAAGCGUAUGGUCGAGUUGUAA
rnacentral:rRNA from 1 species